UACAUGAAGGAAAAGGGCUGCACAUGUGACU
rnacentral:piRNA from 1 species